GAUAGAGACACAGACCGAGAGAGAAAAAGGCUGUAGGCUUUAUUGAGCAGAUUGAAAGGACAAAGCUUCCACAGUGUGGAAGGGGUCCCGAGCGGGUAGCCAGAGUUAGAUUAUGUGACUGCCUUUUAAACUCUUUAAGGCCGGAAAUACGUGUGGCGAGAUGUUACCAGAGCGAGAAACAAAGGCAAUUAACCGUUUGUAACAUGUCUUAGAUCUUGAGGAAAACUGGAAUUGCAACUUAGGUUUUAUCUACUUUAUGAACUUGCAGCAGCAUGGCAAAGGAGACGGGAUCUUACAGGACUUUGUUACAAAGUAUGUUUUCAAGGAAUUGGAAUUGGGAGGAUAGAUAAGGUCCGCUGGUCACAGAAAAACAGGCAGUUAACGUUCCUUUUACUUUAGUUUCGGGGGAGGCGGAAGAGAAAGAGAGAGAGAGGACACAGGGAAACUUACAGCAAAAGUUUCGAUGUUUAUAGCUUUCUUGGGGAAGAAAACACAUGCACAGAUCCUGGUGUUAGGAAUAUUUUAAGCAUGUAUCUUCAAUAUUAUUCAUCCAGGACCGAAGUAAGUCCUGAUGCAGGAAAUGAGUGACUUUCACAGCUUUCUGAGCCCCUACUCAACCCAGGAAGUCCAGCUGGCACCUCCUCUGGAUCACAAGGUACUCACCGCUACCCUGCGUUCCUGCAUAGACUUCCAUCAGAGAGAACAUGUUAGGAAAGUUAAAUUGCAGUAAGCACAUCACAGCAAUGACGAGGACAGGUACUUUUCUGGGAAACACUGGAAGACAGCUGGAGAGGAUUCUGCUGCUGUGAAAGCACCUAAAGCCUCCUUGACUCAGCCUCACAUCCUAUCUUCAAGAAAACAUCAUAUGGUUAUUAUAUAAACCUCUUACGGGAUUUCUAAGGUUAAUUUCAAUAUAUAAAUGGCUACUCAACAGAAUCAAGGGCUGCGUGGUUGUGUUUGCCAAGGUUCUUCUCGUCAAAAUCUGCACUGGAAGAUUCUUCCUUGACAAACCAUCUUUUGAACAUCUGGUGAAAAAAAAAAUGGAGAAAUAAUAUGAGAGAAGAAAACGUGAAUAAGACAUUAAAUGAAACUGCAUGAGAGGUUUUAUUCAAGGUUCACAAUAAAAUAUAUACCAGAGCAGUAGAAGAG
rnacentral:lncRNA from 10 species